ACUGAUGCCAUUUCUCUUAGCCAUAAUGUAUAUAUAUAUAUAUUUUUCUACAAUGAUUGCCGUUGGAAGGUGUGGUAACCUUCUUUGGCCGGGUUGCAAUACUGAUAGACCAGAAUACACAGGCAUUCCACAUGUUCAUUACUGCUCUUCUUCAGCUGUUGGAUCGAUCGGGAUUACUAUAUGGAGAGCUUGCUAGAUUUGUGUUGAGACUGCUGGGAAUUAGAACAAAGCCUAAAAAGGUUCAGCCACUCCUGAUGAUGGUUUAUGAGACUGAUUUAUGCCACUGAGACUCAAAUAUGUGUUCCAUUAGUUUAAUGGCAAAGCGUUGAUGU